rnacentral:rRNA from 1 species
UGCGUAGGCGGAAUAAUAAGUCAGUGGUGAAAGCCUGCGGCUUAACCGUAGAAUUGCCAUUGAUACUGUUAUUCUUGAGUAUAGUUGAGGUGGGCGGAAUGUGUAAUGUAGCGGUGAAAUGCUUAGAUAUUACACAGAACACCAAUUGCGAAGGCAGCUCACUAAGCUGUUACUGACGCUGAGGCACGAAAGCGUGGGGAGCAAACAGGAUUAGAUACCCUGGUAGUCC